rnacentral:rRNA from 1 species
UGAGAGUUUGAUCCUGGCUCAGAUUGAACGCUGGCGGCAUGCCUUACACAUGCAAGUCGAACGGCAGCGCGGACUUCGGUCUGGCGGCGAGUGGCGAACGGGUGAGUAAUACAUCGGAACGUACCCUGUUGUGGGGGAUAACUAGUCGAAAGAUUAGCUAAUACCGCAUACGACCUGAGGGUGAAAGCGGGGGACCGAAAGGCCUCGCGCAGCAGGAGCGGCCGAUGUCUGAUUAGCUAGUUGGUGGGGUAAAGGCCCACCAAGGCGACGAUCAGUAGCUGGUCUGAGAGGACGAUCAGCCACACUGGGACUGAGACACGGCCCAGACUCCUACGGGAGGCAGCAGUGGGGAAUUUUGGACAAUGGGGGCAACCCUGAUCCAGCAAUGCCGCGUGUGUGAAGAAGGCCUUCGGGUUGUAAAGCACUUUUGUCCGGAAAGAAAUUGCUCUGGCUAAUACCUGGGGUAGAUGACGGUACCGGAAGAAUAAGCACCGGCUAACUACGUGCCAGCAGUCGCGGUAAUACGUAGGGUGCGAGCGUUAAUCGGAAUUACUGGGCGUAAAGCGUGCGCAGGCGGUUUUGUAAGACAGGCGUGAAAUCCCCGGGCUCAACCUGGGAAUUGCGCUUGUGACUGCAAGGCUAGAGUGCGUCAGAGGGGGGUAGAAUUCCACGUGUAGCAGUGAAAUGCGUAGAGAUGUGGAGGAAUACCGAUGGCGAAGCAGCCCCUAG